UAUCGUUUUUAAUAUAUAUGGAUCAAAACGACGUCGUUUUGUAUAAAUAUUAUCAAGAUAAAAGCAAAGAAACCAGAUGAGGCUCAUCAAGAUAAAUCAGAAAAAAUAGUUAAUGCACAUCUGCAAGGCUGCUUGGCUAUAAAAGGAAAAGAAGGCAGUGAAGGAGAGCAUGACGGGAAAGACAAUUAAUUGGGGAAAUUGGAGGCUUAGGCCUAAGGACAUUGGCUACUAUUCUUGGCAAUCCAAUCUUGUUGGCACCGGAGUCAGAUCCAGGGGACAGCAACAUUCUUGCAGGAGGCGCCACUCUCAGUCCAGGAACGCAUCAUACUAUUUUUAUGAUCUUUCUUGUUUUCUUGCUUCUUUAUGUCUCUGUUUCUCAGUCCAGUUUUGAAAUUUUGCUAUCAAGAUUCAAAUGUUUUAAUCCAUUAAUGUGAUACUUCUCUGAAUUUACAUGGAUAUCUGAAUUUAGAGAUUUUAUUGACUGAGUUUAAGUUCUAGAUUAGCCAUUAACUCACUGUUUUCAACUGAAGAAGGGGUAUUUUGGCUGUUCCUCUUCCUUUUUAUAUCUCAGUUUAGCUAAAAGUUUGUUUUUCGGUAUCUGGGUAUUUUUGCUUAGGAAAAGCAUUUGUGGGUUUCUGUUGCUUUUCAGUUUAUUAAGCUAAAAAUCAUUACUUGAUUCAUUUGUUUUAUCAACAUUAAGUAGGCUGGAAGUUUUUCUUUUUCUUUUUUGGUUGAAUUUGUCUCAAAACUUGUUGGUUUUUUUUCUGGGUACUUUCUUAGGAAAAAAAAUUUGUGGGUUAGUUUAUGGGGUUUAUUUCCAUUUUUCCGAUGUUAAAAAAUUCGUUGUUAGAUUGGUUUUGGUAUUGGAUUGUUUGUUCUGUUAUAUGUUUGCUUAUUUGUAACUGCUUUGGUGUUAUACACUCCUUCCAUCUGCAGCAAAGUGCUCCAUGGAUAAGCUUACUCCUAACCAUUCUUCUGUUCGUUUGUAGCAUACCAUGAAGUUGUUUCCAAGUAGAAAAAGCUUAAUUAUAUUACUAGACAUAGUUCCCCGCUUGGGUUGCUAACAAAUAUGUAAACCCCCAACUUCAUCAGUUAAAAGACAGCCCCAAAAGUGCUCCACAGUGUUUCCUUCUGGUAUUAAUUUAGUCAUACUGGGCUAGAAUUCUCAUAGACCCUAGCAGGCCAGCCAAAAUAUUGGAUAUAUAAUGAGUUGAGGCUCAUAGCGAUGCCAAACCCAAAACUGAUGAAAGCAGUAUCGCAUAAAUGGCCCUUAGAAGACGCUGUCAACAACAUUCAAUCAAGCUAUUGUUAUUUUCAAACUGAUGAAAGCAAUGUCUAAAGUCAAUAAAAUUAGGGCGGCAAAUGAAUCCUGCUACUCAUGGCUUGACACUAGUCAAGCCGACCUCAGUUAUUGUUAACUGGAGGUUGAGCUUGUUGUCUCUCAGUUUAGUGAACUCAUGAGUUUGCAGUUAGUUCAAGUGUAAUAUCAAGGUUGAUAACCUACACCCAAAUCGGUUGAAAUCCAUAUUUUUCAAAAACCCAUAGUUCUAGUUAGUUUUGUGUGUUAUAGAACAAGUCCCCCAAGGGUGGGAGAACUUUUGCCGGUUUUUAGGACAUUUUUCUCAACAUGUGCCCUCAUUCGAGUCAAGAUAGAUAGUUUCAUGAGAAUUUCCGAAAUAUAUGCUCAAAAUUGACUAUUGUUAAAAGUUAGAUUUGAAACUUGAGAGUGUAACACCGCUAGAUAAGUUUGAUAUUCGCAAAAUAUGGAAAAGACAUUAGAUAUGUAUGGACAUCUCACAUCAUUUAAGAAUGAUAGCAGAAGAUUGAUUAUAUAAUCUAUGAAAGCAAAAUUGUGAAAACUUUUUGUCCUAAAUAGACAACAUCUUGAUAAUGAGUAAGGAUAUUAGACCAAAAAUGUUACCUCAACAUUCUCUUUGGGCAUAACCUAACCAUCAUGUUGACAAAUCUUAAGGUGAUUAACCUAAUAAUCUACUGUCAGCAUCUCUCACUUUAAUAAGUAUAUUAGAUAGGGCUAGUGUAUGGUAAGAAAUUUUCUCAGCAACUAUUCAACCUGAUUUUUAAUUGUCCACAAAUUUUGGGAAAUUUAGAGUUUUAAUUCUUCACUAUUUCUGUGUUGAUAGGAACUCUCUUGAUAUGACCAAUCAAUGAACCCUCUUAAUUGACCAUCAACAAACCCCAUUAACAAACCAAAUCUUGUUGGACUUGAAAGUGGAGAUUUCUUAUUGAACCACCCACUGAAUAAUUUU